AGAAGGUAGGCCGGCGACCGUCAGAAGCUUCGCGCUUCGAAGCGGUUGUUGGUUGCAGAGAAUCGGGGGUAGCGACUGUUUACCAAAAACACAGGACUCUGCGAACGCGGAAGCGGACGUAUAGGGUCUGAUGCCUGCCCGGUGCUGGAAGGUUAAGGGGAGAUGUCAGUCGCAAGACGAAGCAUCGAACCGAAGCCCCAGUAAACGGCGGCCGUAACAAUAACGGUCCUAAGGUAGCGAAAUUCCUUGUCGGGUAAGUUCCGACCUGCACGAAUGGCAUAACGACUUCCCCACUGUCUCGGGAUGGGACUCAGUGAAGUAGCACUAGGGGUGAAGAUACCCUUUACCUGCGGCAAGACGGAAAGACCCCAUGAACCUUCACUGUAACUUGGCACUGAACUUCGGGCUUAAUUGCGUAGGAUAGGUGGGAGGCUUUGAACCGGGGAUUUCGGUUUCCGGGGAGCCACCGUUGAAAUACCACCCUGUUCAGUCUGGAGUUCUAACCUACGCCCGUUAACCGGGCGGGGAACAAUGCCUGGUGGGCAGUUUGACUGGGGCGGUCGCCUCCAAAAAAGUAACGGAGGCGCGCGAAGGUUCCCUCAGGCUGAUUGGAAACCAGCUGUUGAGUGUAAUGGCACAAGGGAGCUUAACUGCGAGACAAACAAGUCGAGUAGGUACGAAAGUAGGUCAUAGUGAUCCGGUGGUACCUCAUGGAAGGGCCAUCGCUCAUCGGAUAAAAGGUACUCUGGGGAUAACAGGCUGAUCACGCCCAAGAGUUCACAUCGACGGCGUGGUUUGGCACCUCGAUGUCGGCUCAUCGCAUCCUGGGGCUGAAGUAGGUCCCAAGGGUUUGGCUGUUCGCCAAUUAAAGCGGUACGCGAGCUGGGUUCAGAACGUCGUGAGACAGUUCGGUCCCUAUCUGCCGUGGGCGCAGGAGUUUUGCGAGGACCUGCCCGUAGUACGAGAGGACCCGGGUGGACGGACCGCUGGUGUUCCGGUUGUCAUGCCAAUGGCAUCGCCGGGUAGCUAUGUCCGGAACAGAUAACCGCUGAAAGCAUCUAAGCGGGAAGCUGACCUCCAGAUUAGAACUCCCAGAGCGCAAGCUCUCUGAAGGACCCUUGUAGACUACGAGGUUGAUAGGCCGGGUGUGGAAGCGCUGUGAGGCGCGUAGCUAACCGGUACUAAUCGUCCGUGAGGCUUGACCGC
rnacentral:rRNA from 1 species